AUUGAACGCUGGCGGCAGGCCUAACACAUGCAAGUCGAGCGGCGCGUCGGUCGCGUGCGUAAUUCCUAGGAAUCUUCCUGGUAGUGGGGGAUACCGUCCGGAAACGGGCGCUAAUUCCUCAUACUAUACGUUUAGUCUAGGUCGGAUUAGCUAGUUGGUGGGGUAAAGGCCUACCCAGGCUACGAUCCGUAACUGGUCCGAGAGGAGGAUCAGUCAAACUGGAACUGAGACACGGUCCAGACUCCUACGGGAGGCAGCAGUGGGGAAUAUUGGACAAUGGGCGAAAGCCUGAUCCAGACAUGCCGCGUGUGUGAAGAAGGUCUUCGGAUUGUAAAGCACUUUAAGUUGGGAGGCGUUACCAACAGAAUAAGCACCGGCUAACUUCGUGCCAGCAGCCGCGGUAAUUC
rnacentral:rRNA from 1 species